GCCCCGGUAGCUCAAUUGGACAGAGUACCUGCUUGCGGAGCAGAUGGUUGCAGAUUCGAGUUCUGCCCGGGGCACCU
rnacentral:tRNA from 1 species